rnacentral:rRNA from 1 species
UAGGGAAUCUUCGGCAAUGGGGGCAACCCUGACCGAGCAACGCCGCGUGAGUGAAGAAGGUUUUCGGAUCGUAAAGCUCUGUUGUAAGAGAAGAACGUGUGUGAGAGUGGAAAGUUCACACAGUGACGGUAACUUACCAGAAAGAGACGGCUAACUACGUGCCAGCAGCCGCGGUAAUACGUAGGUCCCGAGCGUUGUCCGGAUUUAUUGGGCGUAAAGCGAGCGCAGGCGGUUUAAUAAGUCUGAAGUUAAAGGCAGUGGCUUAACCAUUGUUCGCUUUGGAAACUGUUAAACUUGAGUGCAGAAGGGGAGAGUGGAAUUCCAUGUGUAGCGGUGAAAUGCGUAGAUAUAUGGAGGAACACCGGUGGCGAAAGCGGCUCUCUGGUCUGUAACUGACGCUGAGGCUCGAAAGCGUGGGGAGCAAACAGG